rnacentral:rRNA from 1 species
UGAAACUCGCCUACAUGAAGCUGGAAUUGCUAGUAAUCACAGGUCAGCAUACUGUGGUGAAUACGUUCCCGGGCCUUGUACACACCGCCCGUCACACCAUGAGAGUUGAGAAUACCCGAAGCCCAUGUCAAAGUGGUCGAAGGUAGGCUUGAUGAUUGGGGUGAAGUCGUAACAAGGUAAC